rnacentral:rRNA from 1 species
UACGUAGGAGGCAAGCGUUGUCCGGAUUUACUGGGCGUAAAGCGCGCCGCAGGCGGCAUGGCAAGUAAGGUGUGAAAUCUCCCUGCCUAACGGGGAGGGUGCAUUUUAGACUGCCAAGCUAGAGGACGGUAGAGGGGGGUAGAAUUGCUGGUGUAGCGGUGAAAUGCGUAGAGAUCAGCAGGAAUACCCGUGGCGAAGGCGGCCCCUGGGCCGA